GACGAACGCUGGCGGCGUGCCUAAUACAUGCAAGUAGAACGCACAGUUUAUACCGUAGCUUGCUACACCAUAGACUGUGAGUUGCGAACGGGUGAGUAACGCGUAGGUAACCUGCCUGGUAGCGGGGGAUAACUAUUGGAAACGAUAGCUAAUACCGCAUAAUAUUAAUUAUUGCAUGAUAAUUAAUUGAAUGGUGCAAUUGCACCACUACCAGAUGGACCUGCGUUGUAUUAGCUAGUAGGUGAGGUAACGGCUCACCUAGGCGACGAUACAUAGCCGACCUGAGAGGGUGAUCGGCCACACUGGGACUGAGACACGGCCCAGACUCCUACGGGAGGCAGCAGUAGGGAAUCUUCGGCAAUGGACGAAAGUCUGACCGAGCAACGCCGCGUGAGUGAAGAAGGUUGUCGGAUCGUAAAGCUCUGUUGUAAGAGAAGAACGGGUGUGAGAGUGGAAAGUUCACACUGUGACGGUAUCUUACCAGAAAGGGACGGCUAACUACGUG
rnacentral:rRNA from 1 species